UACGUAGGAUGCAAGCGUUGCCCGGAAUUACUGGGCGUAAAGAGCUCGUAGGCGGGGGGCGUGCGUCCGAGAAGAAAUCUCAAGGCUCAACCUUGGGGCUAUCUCGGAUACGGCGCUUCUUGAGGGUGAGAGAGGAAAGCGGAAUUCCAGGUGUAGCGGUGAAAUGCGUAGAUAUCUGGAGGAACACCAGCGGCGAAGGCGCUU
rnacentral:rRNA from 1 species